UGGGGAUAUAGCUCAGUUGGUAGAGCGCACGGAUCGCACCCGUGAGGCCAGGGGUUCGAAUCCCCUUAUCUCCAG
rnacentral:tRNA from 1 species